GGGAGAGAUGGAUGGAGGGAGAGGGGAGAUGGAGAGAUAAAGGGAGAGGCAAGGAGAGAUGGAUAGAGAGAGGGAGGGAAAGAGAUAAAGGGAGAGGUGAGGAGAGAUCGAGAGAGGGAGGGAAAGAGAUAAAGGGAGAGGUGAGGAGAGAUGGAGAGAGAGUGAGGGAAAGAGAUAAAGGGAGAGGUGAGGAGAGAUGGAGGGAAAGAGAUAAAGGAAGAGGCGAGGAGAGAUGGAGAGAGAGGGAGGGAAAGAGAAAGGGAGAGGUGAGGAGAGAUGGAGGGAAAGAGAUAAAGGAAGAGGCGAGGAGAGAUGAGAGAGAGAGGGAGGGAAAGAGAAAGGGAGAGGCGAGGAGAGAUGGAGGGAAAGAGAUAAAGGGAGAGGUGAGGAGAGAUGGAGAGAGAGAGGGAGGGAAAGAGAUAAAGGGAGAGGUGAGGAGAGAGGGAGGGAAAGAGAUAAAGGGAGAGGUGAGGAGAGAUGGAGGGAAAGAGAUAAAGGAAGAGGCGAGGAGAGAUGGAGAGAGAGGGAGGGAAAGAGAUAAAGAGACAGGAGAGAGGCAGCCGUUACCUAUAUCUUUCAUGUCAUUGGUCUAAGUUAUAGAGAAUGUAAAGUGAUCUGAGAGAAACGUGGUAUAUAUAAUAUAUACAUAUAUAAGUGCCUUCCAAUAUCAUGGAGUCCAAUCUGCAUUCAUUAACAUUGUAGUUGAGAAAAUUCCCCCAGGUGGCUGAUGGAGGUGUGUUCCCGGUCUUCCAUUGUAAAGUGUUACAGUCCACACCAGAUGUCAUCCCUGACAACAGUAACACGGCCCUGG